rnacentral:rRNA from 1 species
GUUUUUAAUUGAGAUCUUGGAUGAAGGGUAGAUUCUAAGGAGAAUGUUUUAGUUUAAAAGUUUGAAUUUAAAUUAAAAGUAAAAAUGCUUUUGUAAAUUCUUGGGACAAGAAGACCCUAGAAGUUUAUUUAAAUGAUUUUGGUUGGGGUAACGGUUGAAGAAAAGAAUUUUUAAGAUAUAUUCAUGAAAAGUUAUAAAAAUUACUCUAGGGAUAACAGCGUUAUUUAAUUAGUAAGUUCUUAUUUAUAAUUAAGUUUGCGACCUCGAUGUUGAAUUAAAUUUUGGUAUAAUGAAGAAUUUAUAUAUAGUUAGUCUGUUCGACUAUAAAAAGUUUACGUGAUCUGAGUUCAGACCGGA